rnacentral:misc_RNA from 1 species
AAAAUGUCAGCGACCACACAAGGAUUGUGGAUAUGUUUAUUCGCAGCGAUUUGUGUGCAAACAUCAUUUUCAAGCUUGCCAAUAGUAGUCAAUACCUGGCCAUUUACAAAUGCAACCGAAGCAGGUUACAAUGAAUUUUUACGCGGAGGAAGUGUUAUAGAUGUCGUUGAGAAAGGCUGCUCCAAGUGUGAAGUUUUGAGAUGUGAUGGUUCGGUUGGGGAAGGGAGCGACCCAGAUGAAGAUGGAGAAGUAACCUUAGAUGCCAUGAUAAUGGAUGGUGUAAUUCACAAUGAAAUGACCUUCAAUUUACACUUGUGCACUGUAUUUUAAAACCUCAUUUCUUGUAGGAAAACCAUGGAUGUGGGUUCUGUUGGGUGUUUGAGGAACAUUAGUUCUGCAAUAAGUGUAGCACGCAUGGUUAUGGAGAGAACUGGACAUACACUGCUUGCGGGGGAAUUAGCCACCAAAUUUGCAGUGGAAAUGGGUUUUAAAGAAAGUGACCUAAGCUCAAACAAGUCAGACACAAUGUAUAAACAAUGGAUUGAAAACAAUUGUCAGCCUAACUACAGAGUUAAUGUCAGUCCAGAUCCUGAGAAAAGUUGUGGCCCUUACCAUCCAAGUACAAACGUACUUGAAGAGUCUACCAGAAAGGACAAGGGGAUUGGUUAUUUGAACCAUGACACAAUUGGAAUGGUGGCAGUUGAUACAAAUGGACAUGUAGUUUCUGGAACAACUACAAAUGGACUCAACCACAAAAUACCUGGCCGAGUUGGAGACUCCCCGAUAGUAGGUGCUGGGUCCUACGCACAGAAUGAGAUGGGUGGAGCAGCAGCCACUGGGGAUGGAGACAUCAUGAUGAGAUUUCUUCCAUCGUACACUGCUGUGCAGUUAAUGGGAAGUGGAAUGACUCCUUCAAAAGCAGCUCUUUUCUCAAUUAUGCCAAUCAUCAAUUUUUAUCCUGAAUUCAAUGGUGCUGUCAUUGCAGUUAACACUAAAGGGGAACAUGCUUGCCAUGGAAGUGGUAUUGGUACCUUUCAUUACUCUGUGAAGGACAACCCUGAUAAAGUUAAUCUAUUCUCUGUGAAAUGCGUCUAAUUUGUACUGACAUUGACACAUGCAUAUGGUACCGGGUGUCUUUCAGAACUAACUGUGAUUCCUCUCAGUGUGUAGCAAUUUCAUAAAAAUGUCAUUCCCAGAUAUUCAGUUUGUUGAUCAAUGAGAUGUUCAUUGUUCACUUUAUAACCAGUGGGUUAUGCAUAUCAAGCAUGUACCAAAAAUGCUUUUUUAUUAACAUGUAAACUGGGUACAUAUGUACACUGUAUUUUGAACUCAGAAAUGUUCUCUGACAUGGUAUAUUUUUUUCUAUUCUCCACAAAAUGAUAAACAUGUAGAUGUAUAUGUUAUUAAAUAAAUUGUAUUUUGAAUAAUGUACCAAUAACUUUUUUCCUGUUUUCCACAAAAAUAUAAUGAGUAUCACUUCAUGGAAUUAAUUCUUCUUUUUUUUUCUUUUCUUUUUUUAUUGAAUUUUUCACUUUCACAACAGAUAUAUGUACAUACAUGACAUAUCUUGUACAUAUGUUUAUAUAAUCAUCUUGAAAAGCUUCUAAGUUUAUGAUUAUUCUAUAUUAUACAAUUCUUAUGUAGUGAAAGUAAAUUUUGGGAGAGAGAGAGAGAGAAUAAAGGGGAGAGAGCGAGGGAAAGGAUUGGGGCAUUGUUCACAUAUGGAUAUAAAAUGUAAACCAUUUAAAAUGUAAAUUCUUUUUUAAUAUUCAAUUAUUAUUAAAAAUUAUAACAACAC